AUGUAGCUAAGUGGUACAGCAUCUGCCUUGCAAGCACAAGGUCCUGAGUGCAAUCCCCAGUAU
rnacentral:tRNA from 1 species